CAGGGAUUGCCCCAGUAACGGCGAGUGAAGCGGCAAGAGCUCAAAUUUUAAAUCUGGGGUCUCCGGCCCCCGAGUUGUAAUUUGGAGAGGCAUCUUCGGGAGGAGCGCUGGCCAAUGUUCCUUGGAACAGGACGUCGCAGAGGGUGAGAAUCCCGUGCCAGGCCAGCCGCGCCCUUCCACGUGAAGCGCCUUCGACGAGUCGAGUUGUUUGGGAAUGCAGCUCCAAGUGGGUGGUAAAUUUCAUCUAAAGCUAAAUACCGGCGAGAGACCGAUAGCGCACAAGUAGAGUGAUCGAAAGAUGAAAAGCACUUUGAAAAUAGAGUCAAAAAGUACGUGAAAUUGUUGAAAGGGAAGCGCUUGAGACCAGACUCGGAGCGAGGCAAACAUCUGGCCCCGCGGGGCCGUGCACUUGCCUCGGGCCGGGCCAGCAUCAGUUGGUGCGGCGGGAGAAAGGCGCGGGGAAUGUGGCUCCCCUCGGGGAGUGUUAUUAGCCCCGUGCUCAAUGCCGCCCGCACCGACUGAGGACCGCGCUUCGGCUAGGAUGCUGGCUUAAUGGCCUUCAGCGACCCGUCUUGAAACACGGACCAAGGAGUCUAACAUCUAUGCGAGUGUUUGGGUGCCAAACCCUUUCGCGGAAUGAAAGUGAACGGAGGUGGGAACCCCUCGCCGGGCGCACCAUCGACCGAUCCUGAUGUCUUCGGAUGGAUUUGAGUAGGAGCAU
rnacentral:rRNA from 1 species